rnacentral:rRNA from 1 species
UGAUCAGCCAUGCCGCGUGAGUGAUGAAUGCCCUAUGGGUUGUAAACUUCUUUUGUACGGGAGAAAAUUGUCCGGUCGUGACCAAAUUGACAGUACUGUACCAAUAAGCAUCGGCUAACUCCGUGCCAGCAGCCGCGGUAAUACGGAGGAUGCGAGCGUUAUCCGGAUUUAUUGGGUUUAAAGGGUGCGUAGGCGGAUUUGUAAGUCAGUGGUGAAAGCCUGUCGCUUAACUGUAGCAUUGCCAUUGAUACUGGAAUUCUUGAGUAUAGUUGAGGUAGGCGGAAUGUGUAGUGUAGCGGUGAAAUGCUUAGAUAUUACACAGAACACCGAUUGCGAAGGCAGCUUACUAAGCUGUAACUGACGCUGAGGCACGAAAGCGUGGGGAUCAAACAGGAUUAGAUACCCUGGUAGUCCACGCCGUACCCGAUGAUCACUGGUUGUUGGCGAUAUACUGUCAGCGACUGAGCGAAGCAUUAAGUGAUCCACCUGGGGAGUACGACCGCAACGAUGAAACUCAAAUGAAUUGACGGAGAACGCU